AGUCAAUCUCCCUGUGGUCCAAACCAGCUGUCUCCACUCGAGUGGGCUGAAACACAUGUGGAUAUUCAGGUUCUGCUGGUUAAUUUGUGGCAGAGCACUUGCUCGAGAGAUUUUCAUACGGGACCUACAUGGGAAAUCCCUGAUUGACACCCAUAACACAGGUUGCGUGCAGACAGACUUUACUGGAGUCUUAACCCAAAGACACCAUCAGCCAUACAGUCUCCAAACUACCACUCCUGGUAAACUUUCCAUGUAGUCAGCACUAAUUAACCACAUUUCACAGUCAUAAUGAUAAAGGAUCCCAUCUAAAUCGACAACAGAUGCACCGCACUGCGUUCAGUUACGCUGCUGCUGAUUAAACUGCUGACAG